CUGAAAGAACCAUCAGAAAACUGCGACAUUAGUGU
rnacentral:sRNA from 1 species